UUUGAAGGUUUAUGAUGAGCAGGAACUGCAUGAUGUCAGUUCAUGAUGGACUACUGUUAUCAGAGGUCUUUUGGUCUUGCUGCGUGAGCGUGACUGGGGAUUCUUUAGGACCACCCUGAUUAAUAAUCCUGAAGCGCUGACUGAAGAUGCUUUAUUGGCCCUGCAGUCACUGAGGGUCUCUGCUGUCCUGAAGAAUGAAUUGGACACCACCCACAGCACACUUCCAGACCUUUUUUGUCUUGUUUGGAUUAAUGUAUGCUCUUCACAUAAUAUAUAGUAAAGGACUUUGAACUUGUACAAAAAGUUUUGCUUGGCAUGGAUGAUAGAAAAUAGAAAGUCGAUUAGCAUAGAAUCCUUAAAGAAUGAGUUGAUGUAGAGCCUUUUUUGUACUCAAUAAAGACUGUCACUGGGGUAGUAACUUCAAAACAUGUAUGUACCUUUAAUUGGU